rnacentral:lncRNA from 1 species
ACAAAAUUUUAGUUAUUUGGGUUCAACUUUAUCUAGCAUUAGUUAACUUUUUGUUCUUGAUUCAUCAUGCACUCCAUGGCAUAUAUUUGACUAAAUGUCUUAAUGAAAUUUCAUACAAUUCCAGGCAUAUAUUUGUGCUUGUUUAAUGAUUCCUAAGGUAACUUGGAGCACCAAUGGAACCGAACACGCCAAUGACAAAACUAAGGAAGGCGGAAAAUGGGAAGAAUUCAUGACACCCACAACAAAACACAUGUAGACAAUGACUUUGAAGUAUCAUAUCAUCUUCAUCUUGGUUGUUUUUGUUAGUUUAUGUUUUAGAACUCGCAAGUUAUAGAUCUUUACAUUUUUUAUUUUAUUUUUUCACAUGUAU